UAUGGGCCCUUAAACCAUUCAUG
rnacentral:miRNA from 1 species